rnacentral:rRNA from 1 species
GACGAACCGUGCGAACGUUGUUCGGAUUCACUGGGCUUAAAGGGCGCGUAGGCGGCUUGCCAAGUCAGGGGUGAAAUCUUUCGGCUUAACCGGAAAAGUGCUUCUGAUACUGGCGGGCUGGAGGGAGGUAGGGGCAGACGGAACUUCCGGUGGAGCGGUGAAAUGCGUAGAUAUCGGAAGGAACGCCGGUGGCGAAAGCGGUCUGCUGGACCUCUUCUGACGCUGAGGCGCGAAAGCUAGGGGAGCGAACAGG